rnacentral:rRNA from 1 species
UGGGGAAUCUUGCGCAAUGCGCGAAAGCGUGACGCAGCAACGCCGCGUGGGGGAAGAAGGCCUUCGGGUUGUAAACCCCUUUCAGUUGGGACGAAGCUUCGCCGGUGAAUAGCCGGCUGGAGUGACGGUACCUUCAGAAGAAGCCCCGGCUAACUACGUGCCAGCAGCCGCGGUAAUACGUAGGGGGCAAGCGUUGUCCGGAAUCAUUGGGCGUAAAGAGCGUGUAGGCGGCUCGGUAAGUCCGCUGUGAAAGUCCAGGGCUCAACCCUGGAAUGCCGGUGGAAACUGUCGAGCUAGAGUCCGGAAGAGGCGAGUGGAAUUCCUGGUGUAGCGGUGAAAUGCGCAGAUAUCAGGAGGAACACCAAUGGCGAAGGCAGCUCGCUGGGACGGUACUGACGCUGAGACGCGAAAGCGUGGGGAGCAAACA